rnacentral:rRNA from 1 species
GAUGAACGCUGGCGGCGUGCUUAACACAUGCAAGUCGAACGAUGAAGCUCAGCUUGCUGGGUGGAUUAGUGGCGAACGGGUGAGUAACACGUGAGUAACCUGCCCUUAACUCUGGGAUAAGCCUGGGAAACUAGGUCUAAUACCGGAUAGGAGCACCUACCGCAUGGUGGGUGUUGGAAAGAUUUAUCGGUUUUGGAUGGACUCGCGGCCUAUCAGCUUGUUGGUGAGGUAAUGGCUCACCAAGGCGACGACGGGUAGCCGGCCUGAGAGGGUGACCGGCCACACUGGGACUGAGACACGGCCCAGACUCCUACGGGAGGCAGCAGUGGGGAAUAUUGCACAAUGGGCGAAAGCCUGAUGCAGCGACGCCGCGUGAGGGAUGACGGCCUUCGGGUUGUAAACCUCUUUCAGUAGGGAAGAAGCGAAAGUGACGGUACCUGCAGAAGAAGCACCGGCUAACUACGUG